rnacentral:rRNA from 1 species
UACAGAGGGGGCAAGCGUUAUUCGGAAUUAUUGGGCGUAAAGGGCGCGUAGGCGGCUUUGCAAGUGACGGGUGAAAUCCCACGGCUUAACCGUGGAACUGCCUGUCAGACUGCAUGGCUUGAGACCAGGAGAGGUGAGUGGAAUUCCCAGUGUAGCGGUGAAAUGCGUAGAUAUUGGGAGGAACACCAGUGGCGAAGGCGGCUCACUGGACUGGUACUGACGCUGAGGAGCGAAAGCGUGGGGAGCGAACAGG